rnacentral:piRNA from 1 species
UGCUGCAGAAAUGACAGCCAUUGUAACUGUC